UACGUAGGGGGCAAGCGUUGUCCGGAAUCAUUGGGCGUAAAGCGCGUGUAGGCGGCUUGGUAAGUCCGCUCUGAAAGCCCGGGGCUCAACCCCGGGAGGCGGGUGGAUACUGUCAAGCUCGAGUCCGGAAGAGGCGAGUGGAAUUCCUGGUGUAGCGGUGAAAUGCGCAGAUAUCAGGAGGAACACUAAUGGCGAAGGCAGCUCGCUGGGACGUGACUGACGCUGAGACGCGAAAGCGUGGGGAGCAAACAGG
rnacentral:rRNA from 1 species